GUUUAACAUGUGAGUGUCGAUAUCAUUCGUUCUUCCUGACAACUAUUUUGGAGUUGAAGAUAGAGGCAGCAGUAUGUUACCGGUGUUUAAAUGUCACAAAUUGAGUCACCGAAAGGAAAUAUGAGUUACUAACUAAAUCCGAUGACAUCUUAAGAGGAAAUCUACGGAACAUCAGAAACACUGAACUGCAACAAAACAAAAUUCUACAAACAUAGUAACGGACUUAUCGAAAAAAAAAGAAGAAAAGUCACAAAAAUACUGAACUCCGAGGAAUAUUCAAAACAAAAAGUCCCUAAUCAUAUUCCUUGGUACAGGACAUAAAAAAACCUGUUGGUUGAAUCUGAUUUUAUGGCUAGCAAAACCUCCCACUUAUAAUCGAAUGUUAAAAAUACUGCUAAAAUGGCAAUACUACGUGACAGGGACACAGAACAAGAACACUCAAAAGAGAAAUACAUUGAAUAAAUGAAAAUGACAUUCAAGGUAAAUCAAAAACAAAGAUAGGUGUAUUACAUCCGACAAUACUAAACACUCCGUUAUAUCAAUCAACUAAAAGAAGGAAAAAGAA
rnacentral:lncRNA from 1 species